UACGUAGGGGGCAAGCGUUGUCCGGAUUUAUUGGGCGUAAAGAGCGUGUAGGCGGCUGGGUAGGUCCGUUGUGAAAACUCGAGGCUCAACCUCGAGACGCCGAUGGAAACCCUCCAGCUAGAGUCCGGAAGAGGAGAGUGGAAUUCCUGGUGUAGCGGUGAAAUGCGCAGAUAUCAGGAAGAACACCGGUGGCGAAGGCGGGUCUCUGGGCCGUAACUGACGCUGAGGAGCGAAAGCGUGGGGAGCGAACAGG
rnacentral:rRNA from 1 species